rnacentral:rRNA from 1 species
UACGUAGGGUGCGAGCGUUAAUCGGAAUUACUGGGCGUAAAGCGUGCGCAGGCGGUGAUGUAAGACCGAUGUGAAAUCCCCGGGCUUAACCUGGGAACUGCAUUGGUGACUGCAUCGCUCGAGUAUGGCAGAGGGGGGGUAGAAUUCCACGUGUAGCAGUGAAAUGCGUAGAGAUGUGGAGGAAUACCGAUGGCGAAGGCAGCCCCCUGGGCCAGCACUGACGCUCAUGCACGAAAGCGUGGGGAGCAAACAGG